UGGCUUAAUGGUUAAAGCAAUCGGCUGCUAACCGAAAGGCUGGUGGUUUGAAACCACC
rnacentral:tRNA from 1 species